CCUACGGGAUGCAGCAGUGGGGAAUAUUGGGCAAUGGGCGCAAGCCUGAUGCAGCAACGCCGCGUGAAGGAAGAAGGCUUUCGGGUUGUAAACUUCUUUUAAGAGGGAAGAGUAGAAGACGGUACCUCUUGAAUAAGCCACGGCUAACUACGUGCCAGCAGCCCGGGUAAUCCGUAGGGGGCAAGCGUUUUCCGGAUUUACUGGGGGUAAAGGGCGUGUAGCCGGGCCGGCAAGUCAGAUGUGAAAGCCCAAGGCGCAACCUUGGAACUGCAUUUGAAACUGUUGGUCGUGAGUAUCGGAGAGGCCGGCGGAAGUCCCAGUGUAGCGGUGAAAUGCGUAGAUAUUAGGAGGAACACCAGUGGCGAAGGCGGCCUGCUGGACAAAAACUGACGGUGAGGCGCGAAAGCGUGGGGAGCAAACAGGAUUAGAUACCCCGGUAGUC
rnacentral:rRNA from 1 species